rnacentral:rRNA from 1 species
CAAGGAAUUUUCCGCAAUGGGCGCAAGCCUGACGGAGCAACGCCGCGUGCGGGAGGGCGCCCUUCGGGGUGUAAACCGCUUUUCUUGGGGACGACGACCGACGGUACCCGAGGAAGAAGGACCGGCUAACUACGUGCCAGCAGCCGCGGUAAUACGUAGGGUCCGAGCGUUGUCCGGAGUUACUGGGCGUAAAGCGCGCGCAGGCGGCCCGUCGAGUCUGGCGUGAAAGCCCCCGGCUCAACCGGGGAGGGUCGUCGGAGACUGGCGGGCUUGAGGGCGGCAGGGGCCGGUGGAAUUCCCGGUGUAGUGGUGAAAUGCGUAGAGAUCGGGAGGAACACCCGUGGCGAAGGCGGCCGGCUGGGCCGACCCUGACGCUGAGGCGCGAAGGCGUGGGGAGCGAACGGGAUUAGAUACCCCCGUAGUCC